GACAGAGGUCCCGAGCGUUAGGCGGAAUCACUGGGCUUAAAGCGUGUGUAGGCGGAUUUGUAAGUACCUUGUGAAAUCCCACGGCUCAACCGUGGAACUGCUUGGUAUACUGCUUAUCUUGGGCCAUCUAGGGGCUACCGGAACAAGUGGUGGAGCGGUGAAAUGCGUAGAUAUCACUUGGAACGCCAAUGGUGAAAACAGGUAGCUGGGGAUGUGCCGACGCUGAGACACGAAAGCCAGGGGAGCAAACGGG
rnacentral:rRNA from 1 species